rnacentral:rRNA from 1 species
AGAUUAAGCAAAGAAGAGCGCAGGGUGGAUGCCUUGGCACUAAGAGCCGAAGAAAGACGUGAUAAGCUGCGAAAAGCUGCGGGGAGAUGCAAAUAAUCCUUGAUCCGCAGAUGUCUGAAUGGGGAAACCCGGUACGAAGAACUCGUAUCAUCCAUACGCCAAUCCAUAACGUAUGGAGGGGAACCCGGUGAACUGAAACAUCUAAGUAGCCGGAGGAAGAGAAAGAAACAUCGAUUUUGUUAGUAGCGGCGAGCGAAAGCGAAAGAGGCCAAACCGGAGUGCGUGCACUCCGGGGUUCGGACCGCAUUUAAGAUUCAGUGAUUCUAGCAGAAAGGUUUGGGAAAGCCUGCCGGAGAGGGUGAAAGCCCCGUAAGCGAAAGGAGAGCUGACUGAGCGGAAUCCAGAGUACAUUGAGACACGAGAAACCUUGAUGGAAUGAGCGGGGACCACCCCGUAAGCCUAAAUACUACUUAGUGACCGAUAGCGCAUAGUACUGUGAAGGAAAGGUGAAAAGGACCCCGGGAGGGGAGUGAAAGAGAACCUGAAACCCUGUGUUUACAAGCUGUGGAAGUUCUUUAAAUGAACAACCGCGUACUUUUUGUAGAACGGUCCGGCGAGUUGCGGAUACUGGCAAGGUUAAGCACUUAAGGUGCGGAGCCGAAGGGAUACCAAGUCUUAACAGGGCGUUAAGUCAGUAUACGCAGACCCGAAACCGGGUGAUCUAUCCAUGUCCAGGUUGAAGUUGUCGUAAAAGACAAUGGAGGACCGAAGCCACAUCCGUUGAAAA